AGGAAUAUUGGUCAAUGGACGAGAGUCUGAACCAGCCAAGUAGCGUGAAGGAUGACUGCCCUAUGGGUUGUAAACUUCUUUUAUACGGGAAUAAAGUGAGGCACGUGUGCCUUUUUGUAUGUACCGUAUGAAUAAGGAUCGGCUAACUCCGUGCCAGCAGCCGCGGUAAUACGGAGGAUCCGAGCGUUAUCCGGAUUUAUUGGGUUUAAAGGGAGCGUAGGUGGAUUGUUAAGUCAGUUGUGAAAGUUUGCGGCUCAACCGUAAAAUUGCAGUUGAAACUGGCAGUCUUGAGUACAGUAGAGGUGGGCGGAAUUCGUGGUGUAGCGGUGAAAUGCUUAGAUAUCACGAAGAACUCCGAUUGCGAAGGCAGCUCACUAGACUGCAACUGACACUGAUGCUCGAAAGUGUGGGUAUCAAACAGGAUUAGAUACCCUGGUAGUCCACACAGUAAACGAUGAAUACUCGCUGUUUGCGAUAUACAGUAAGCGGCCAAGCGAAAGCAUUAAGUAUUCCACCUGGGGAGUACGCCGGCAACGGUGAAACUCAAAGGAAUUGACGGGGGCCCGCACAAGCGGAGGAACAUGUGGUUUAAUUCGAUGAUACGCGAGGAACCUUACCCGGGCUUAAAUUGCAUUUGAAUAUAUUGGAAACAGUAUAGCCGUAAGGCAAAUGUGAAGGUGCUGCAUGGUUGUCGUCAGCUCGUGCCGUGAGGUGUCGGCUUAAGUGCCAUAACGAGCGCAACCCUUAUCUUCAGUUACUAACAGGUUAUGCUGAGGACUCUGGAGAGACUGCCGUCGUAAGAUGUGAGGAAGGUGGGGAUGACGUCAAAUCAGCACGGCCCUUACGUCCGGGGCUACACACGUGUUACAAUGGGGGGUACAGAAGGCCGCUACCUGGUGACAGGAUGCUAAUCCCAAAAGCCUCUCUCAGUUCGGAUCGAAGUCUGCAACCCGACUUCGUGAAGCUGGAUUCGCUAGUAAUCGCGCAUCAGCCAUGGCGCGGUGAAUACGUUCCCG
rnacentral:rRNA from 1 species